UGUGACAGACCUCCUUGUCAAAGCCUGAUCUCAUUAGAUCUCAGAAGCUAAGCAGGCUGGGUCUGGUUAUUACUUAGAUGAGAAACUGAUGGGAAUACCAGGCGCCACAG
rnacentral:rRNA from 1 species